GGGGCCGCCCGCUCCGGCCCCGGGGCUCGCUGCCCGCUCCGUGAGGGGCCGCCCGCUCCGGCCCCGGGGCUCGCCGUGAGGGGCCGCCCGCUUCGGCCCCGGGGCUCGCUGCCCGCGCCGUGAGGGGCCGUCCCCCGCCCCGGCGCUCGCUGGUUCCCCGGAGGGCUCCUCCGCCCCUCGGACACCCCGUCCCGCCGGCGCUUCCCCCGGCACGGGGGCUGAGCCGUGCGGAGAGCUGGGGCUGGGGCUGGGGCUGGGGCUGGGGCUGUGCAGCGCUGCCCGCCGGCACACCGGAGUUCGGUGUGAGCCGCUGGUCUGCCUCGGAGAGACGCGGAAUUGCUCCAGGGCUCGGUGUUUUGGUGCCUCGUGUAAUGCGAAAGGAACCUCGGCUCCAAGUGGUUUUGAAAAGCGAGAGUGCCGUUUCCUGCUAGAACUGGAAUCGCGAAGCUUUGUAGCUGCACAGUUAAUCGUUCUCUUUACGGGAAUCUACGGAGUAGUGAAGCUAUUUUAAUGUCAGAUAUGUACCUGGGAACAGAAGCCAGCCAUCAGACCCUUUAAUUGUCCUUUGAUUCCUGUGAUGUGAAGAUAUUUUGCAUCUGCCAAAAAUUUGGUCUUUGUCUCUAGGGUUCUUGAAUCUUUAAAAAAAAAAAAAAAGAAAAAGUUUAACAUCUAACUGCUGUUCUCAAGCAAGUCCUUUAAUUAGAAAAAGAAUUGAAUAAGCACUGGUUUCAGUGCUUCUUUCUGUCAUCAUUUAUAUUAGAUAAUUAUCUAAAGUAUGGCACAGGCUGCCAGCAAGUAAAGCAAAGAAAGGUGGGACAGUUGAAGCACUGAAAACUUCAGUUAAGCUGUGCUUCAGAAGAGUUAGAAAGAAUGAGCAUUUGUGCUCAGGAGUGUGCGGUUUUCCCUCCAGGCUCCAGCUUGCUAACAUAGACUUCUUGUUUUCCAAACUUCCAUGCAAGAAAAUCUCAUGCUAUUAAAGAACAAAACCCUUAAGAAAAGGAAGAAAAAUGCUUUCUUGUAGCCUUGAGGUCAACAGUUGUCUCUAUUGCAAAACUAUAGUCUCAGCAACCCCUCAGUGUGUUAUUUUAUAACCAUUGUCCUGAAAACCACUAUGAGUCAAAGCCUAUUCAAGCGAGGGAAAGUGACAUAACCACUGGUUACCAGUAGCAAUGCGGUGACAAUCUACCAGAGAUACGCCACCAGUAUUUACAUAGUUACAUAGCAGACACUUAAAGAGAGAACUCGUGGUAUAAAGGGAGGGGUUCUAGCAGAACAUGGAUUCAAGAUAGGGAAGGGGAAUGGAUUUAUCACUGGAAAUGCAAUCAGCAUUUGUGCUCUGCAAGGGACUUGCACAGUUCCUCUUCUCAGUGUAUGAAAGCAUCUGCAGAGCUGGCUGGCAGUCUGGGCACUCUGGACUGAAAGGAGUCUCAAAAAGGCACUGGGAAAUGCACUUGUGGGAAUUCUCUUCUACCAGCAGGACGUAGCUGAAACAUUUCAAGGGAAAAGAGCAGCUGUGCUUAUGAACUACUCCCCGUGGUGGGAGCUGUGUGCUUAGGAGGGUUCAGAACACUGAGCUUUAUCCCAAGCCUGCAAAUAGUUAAGACCUUAUGACAGAUGGCCCAUGGGCAACAGCUCUGUGACCCUCUUUUUCAGGGGAGGAACCAGCUGGCUCUGCCUCCCCUAGUUCCUGGUGUGUGUGGUGUUUGGUAAAUGUUAGUACUUGGUGGGGUGUGACAGGUACAGAGUGAGCCGUACAGUCACUAACAGCAAAAUACUUUGAAGCCAAGAUACUAAUUUACUGUUCACUAGAAGUCAAACAACUACUAAAUAUUUGAUUCUGAUAUCAGGCCUGGCUCUGCAGAGACUCUUUUAGCAAAAACAGCUGUGUGAAUUGAUCAUACAUAAUCUAGAUAUGCUGGGGUGUUUUUAUAUAACACAUCCUGAAAGCAUAGAGUUUUCAUACAUUCAUACAUAUAUUCAUGGACUUGGAGCAGCAGUAGGUCAUGAGGUGUACUUGAUUAGAAGGCAAAAGAAAAAAAGAAAGAGGCAGAAAAGCACCCUCCUGCCUACCUGCAUUGUUCAUGAGCUCAAGAACGGAUUUAUCCUUUACUUAAACAGAAAAAGUUAAAGUGAGGAGGUGACUCACUCUGCAAAAGCACAUCUCCCUUGUAUGAUUUUUCUGCAAAGGGAGGCUUAAUUUCUUCCUUUUAAUGACAAUGAACACAAUACUGAUCUUCUUCCAGCAGUUAAUGGCUGGCAUAACAGGCAGCAUGAGAGCAUGACUACAUUCUUCAGCCUUCUUCUGAAUCAAAAAAGUGCAUCAGGCUUUGAGUCCACAAAAGCCACCAAUAAACCUGCACUGCUCCCCUCUCAAACACAACUAACCCAAGUGUGAAAUUCCAAACCACCUGACAGAGCUCCUUCUCUAGUGGAAGAAGGGAUGUGAAAAGUCACAUCACAAAUACUGCCACAGAUGGCUUUUUAUUUCCACGUGCUCUGCACGUGCUGUAAUAGUCCAUAGCAAGAACAGAUUCUGACUGAUGGCCCAUGCAGUUGAGGCAAUUUUAGAGAAGCACCAAGCAGGAAGCCUGACCAUUAUGUCAGGAAGCUGCACUAACAUGUGCAUAGGGAACAAGAGGAGAAGAUAUGUAUGUUCUUCUGUGUUAUUUUGCCACUGAACCUCUGAAUGACUUUUGGCAACUGUCUUUACCUCUUCAUUCUGCUUAUGGUGACUCCUCCUUCAUGGGCUGAACAUCCUUGCUAUCAUACACACAUGAUUUACACUGAGAAACUAUUAAGCCCAAGUUUUACUUUAAAUCUGUUUAAAAUUAAUUAAUAUUGAAAGAAAAGACAUAAUGUUCUGUCCUCUAUAAAGGAAAUUAAAGUGUAAUAGAGAAGUUUAUGUUCAUAUGCCAUGGUUAGAAAAUCACUACAAUUAAGACACAAAUACAUGAUCCAGUUUAAAUAAAUGCAAGGCACCAAUAGAGAGAGCAAUGCUAUCACAGGGUGCUGCUUCUCAAGGAAAAAUACCAUCAGAGCCUGCAAAAGGUUCUUGUUACCUACUGGUCCAUGAAGUGUGGAAUAAGAAAAAAACCCAGAGCCCUUCCCACACAAACCCCUGCCUGCUUAAUUGAUGACUGACUGGUGAUCAGCUUGACAAGAUCUCAGGCCCGACAAAGCAAGCAUCCCACUGAGGCUGUGUCUCUCACUGUGUGACACUGGAAGGGGGAUUCACAACGUGCCCUUGGAGCGUAACCAAACCUGGAGUGACUGGGAUAAAAUAAUUUCUGUUCAGACAUACCCAGAUUUUCAGAAGGUUACUUUUGUUCUGCAAGGCUACAGCCAGAAAUUCAGUGAAAUUCAAAUUCCAGGGUAUUUUAAUUGUGAAGAAAGAAGAUAUUUCAGCAUUGAACAAAUAUUUAACAAGUAAUCCAUUAUGAAUUCUGAAAACCCCAACAAUAUUUUGAAGACUCUCGUUUUAGCAAAACUGAGGAACUAUCUGCUAUGCACUCCCACUAGCCAUUUUGGUGACAACUUCUUUACUAAUCUCUCAGGAGGAAAGGCCAAAUUAAUUCUUAAAUACAGAGCAGUGAACACCCCAAGUUUUCAAGCACCCAUCAGCAUACAUGGUAACCUCCAAUUACAGUAAACUGCUGCUUAAUGUGUGGCAAGACAAAUUCAAGACUAAGUGGUCCAGAGAACAUGACAAAUGCAGUCAAGAAGCCUUUCCAGUUCUGGAGAACACGAGCAAUUGUUGUUACAGAACCACCAAAUGAAUAUAUUCUGUCUAGAAGGUAUUAAUGGAUUCCUCUGCUCUGACCAGUAAGAAAUGACGUUGCAAUUGCCUUGAGCACCAGGUCAUUUCACCUCCAUGCAGCAAAAUUCCCUUUGUCAGAAACCACUUCACUUAGCUCAGCUGAGAUACAUUUCAGUUUGAAACAAUGUGAGCCUAAACAGCUGGAAGGGAAGUGUUGUAACAAGGAACACAAGGAUGUGUGCUUUGUUUCACAGCCUGUGGUAAGCCAGAAGACCAACCAGCUUCACAGAGGAAUUAAUGCAGUCUACAGUCCACCUGGAAGGUUAAAGACUGAGAUGCAGUAUGGAUCAAAGCUCAAGUUAUUGAUGAGUCCACUACAAAGCAAAUGGAACAGGAAGCUUCUGAACAAUUUGAAAUCCUGCUGAUGGUUUGUUUGAAACUACAGGACACAUUCUUGCCCAGGUUUUAAAAGCUUUCUGGACCACAGCUAUUCAUCUAUCUUUAGAUUGGUAUGGACUGCUGUCAAAGAAGUCUCCUCUUUAGAAGUGUGACAAAUAAGCCUUACUAUGCUUGUUGUGAUUUUUUAAAUCCAAAAGGCAAGUCAUCCUUUCCUACACAAACAUCUGUGGGAGUGUAAAAGGCCUCCUUAACCCACAAUUUAAUUUCAGUAAUUUUCUGCAGGGAGUGAGGAAGAUAAAGGCAAGUUCUACAACCAUAAAACAUGAAAGAGACAAAUAUGGGUGGUAUUACUGUGAUAGAAACCCUGUAAUUAGCUGGAAUAAGCCAAUGCUCAACAGCAGCAGUGGAACUUUCUAAAGUGCAACUGACUUCUGACAAAGUGAGCUCCAGAGCCACAGCCUGCUGUCUUCGGGCAAUUGCUCACAGCCUCCAUGUCUUUGCUGCUGGGGAAAAUUGAUUCAGGCAAGGAGUGAGGAAUUCAUCAGUGUUUUGGCAAAGCUCUUAGGAACAUACAUGUGGUUAAAUGAGACUUGAAACACGUUUCACAUUAAGGGAGCCCUUCCAAGGUAAACUCACAGGCCAAAGGAGUAACUCAGAACAGACUAUUCCAGUACAAAGGGAGGGACCUACGAUGACCAUCCAGGCCAACUGCCUGAGCAGCCCAGGAAACUCCAGCCUGAGCUUAACUGCUUUCUCAGCCUGGGGGCUUGGAAAUCCUCCUGCCUGUGACUUCCAUCCCAGCUGUAGGCAGCCCUUCAUCCUGGGGUCUGGCCUGCAUGACUGAUGAGCUGGAGUGGGCUACAGGAUCUCUGCCUCUUGCUGCUCACCACCACUGCAGGUCAGAGGUUUCUGCCUGAUGUCAGCUGAUUUCAUGGAAUCAAACACACAGGCAACACAGGAAACAAGAGGCAGGCACUUCCAGUUACAAAACUAUGAGAUAACAGCUAUUUAGCCCAUUCUGAUCAACCAGCUAAAGAAACAGAUUUCACCUUUCCACUGCUGUAAUUAUAUGGAAUUAGCCCUGGAAGCCCAGAUGAUACUUCUGUCUUGAUCCACAGUCUUCCAAUUUUCUUCCAAAUUAGCCUUUAACUAUCCAUAGCUAAACCAUAGUCACUUAGUAAGAAAUGAGGCAACAAUUUUAUGCAAAACUCAAGAUCACAUUUGUCAUACUAGAAGGCAGGAGUGGGUUAUUUUAUUUUUAUUUGAAAUAAUGCAGAGCUUUCUUAUGAUACAUACACAUUGAUAGGGCUUCCGGUAGCACACUUUCAAAAAAUUAGUUAUGAAUCAUAAUCAGAAAUAAAUGACUCUUACAUCUAUUAAGACAGUUAUUUAAAAAAAUGUUUUGAUGAAUCAUGCAAAAAUGUUCACAAAGAGCAUUAUAUUUUUUCUUAGAUAAAUGUUUUGUUCUUUCUAAGUCUUACAAAAAGAGCCUGUGCUUUUAAACACUUGAAUUGAGAAAAAAUAUUUACAGCAGACAUCAUAAAUACCACAUUGAAGUUCAUAGAGGCAAAGUGGUGAUGGUCCCCUGUUUUGCAUUCACAAAACAUGCUGAGGGUUUCAGAUCUCUUCCAUAAACUCCCAAUUUAAAAGUGUUCAGUCUUGGAUCUUCAGUAUACUCCUCUUCUCCAAAUCAUUCAUUUCCUUCAGUAUAAGGGCAACAUUGUAUCUCAGUUCUUGAAACUUUGCAACUGGCACCUGAAACAGAAUGCUCAGGUUAGGAAACACAAGACAUCUCAGGAACUUGACUAGGGCAUGCCUUGGACAUGGAACAUUCUGCAGUAUAAGGCCAAUCUCUUUCAAAAGACUUAAUUUUUGCAGACUUAAGACAAAGGAUUUAAGGUUAAUAAAAUUCAGGUAAUUCAACUAAAUCCACAUGGAAAAGGAGAGAGGGAAAAAAACAGAAAUGACACCUAGAUUGUACAUUUUCUGUACUGCAUCAUGAGAGAAAGGAAAUACUCAAGGAUGUAAACUGAGAGCUGCUUGGGUGAGAUGAAAGUCAUGAACUGGAAGGAAAGACAUCUAGAAGGUCAUGAAGACUACAGAAUUCUCAAGCAACAAAUUCAAGAUAUUCUGCUCAUCCAAACUUGCAAGAGAAAGGAAUUGAGACUUGAGGGAAGACACUUGGCAGCAACCUCAAGAGCAAAUUCCACUAUGCAUGGAAGGCAAAAGAUUUAGGGUUAAACACACAAAGCAUUUUCAACAGUGUAGGAGACUCACGGGCUCUCCUCUACCAUUUCAAGCCCGAGAAGCCCAGUGGAUGGAAAUCUUACCUGUGAAGACAGAGACCCCCAGCUGAGUGCAGGCACAGACUGGUGACACAGACUGGUGACACAGACUGGUGACACAGGUGCAGUGCACAAACACAUGCUCACACGAGUGCCCAGUGCAGUCUGGCUGGUCCCACACAGUCUGCACAGCACUGCCUAAUUUACUCUGACUGCACUGAAGACAGCAGUUCUUUUGGCAGAGACCCUUGUCAUCCUUCUGCCCACUCCAGCACAGAUACCAAUUAUAUGAGAGGAAUCCAACACCUGAUUUGCAUUUUCCACAUACAUCAGAAAUGCAUAAAAAGGCACCACGUCCUUUUCACUUUUGACAUAUAUACAACAAGACUCAAAAUGCUGCAAUUCCCACUGCUUUAAAAAAACAACUUCAGUCAGAAGCCACACUGUGAUUAAAAUACCAAAUGGAGACCAAAGAGUGUAACUUCUCCAUGUGCUAUACACAUUUUAAAACUGUUCACAACAGAAUUAUUUUCUGGACUUACCAUCUUACAUAAGCCCUGCUAGUGAGCAGGACAUUCUGAAUGUGUUCAAAUAAAGGAAAACUGAACAUCUGAGGACUAUGUUUACUUGCAUAUGGUACCUUGAACCAACACACAAGUUUAUCCCAAAGAGCUGCUAACUGUGGGAAGACCACUCAUCAGAUCUAGAAAUCCUGCCUGAAGUCACACCCUUGGCAUUCAGAUCCAAGCAGCAACAGCAAAGAGCUGAUUCUAAGAGAAGCACAGUUUGUUAUCAGAUAUCUGCACUCCUGCAUGUGCUGGACAAACACAUGUCCCCUGCAGAAUAACAAAGGGUCUUCACAGACUCACAAUGAUAAAAAGAUCCACAAAAAGCCAAAACACAAGCCCUAAAAUCAAACCAAAACAGUCAGAAACAAUGGCACUAAGACCAACACUGGACAUGAUAUACCAGGAAAUAAAGUGGGAAUAGAGUAUAAACUAGAUUUUAUUCUCACAAGUGAAACUUACCCUUUUGUAAAGGGUUAACCUGAAGUCCAUGGCAUCAUUUAAGUUCCAUGGAAGUCCUCAAAUACAGUGUAUGGGAUGCUCUGGGCUGGACUGUCCAGAGGGGUAAAUUUGAUCUCCUGUGAAGUGACACCCUCAACAAUUUGCAAUGCAGCAAAUUUAUGCCCUUAGAAUUUAUGCCCUUCUCAACAGAUGCUUUCUUGCAAAACAAUUUAAUAGUAAAAUCAGUCCACCUCUUUCAACCCACAGGGCUUUGGUGUUUCUUCCAGACUACUACUAAUGAGAGAACUGAAGCCAAAAUCUGUACAGAGUUCAAAAGUAACAAUGCCUGCUGUGCACUGAAUUCCUGUAUGCACCACCAGGCUAUUUAUAGAACAAAUAGCAUUCCUUUCCAAAGGUUAAAAUUAUGGAAGAGUUUAUGCCAUCUUCUGGCAAGCCUUUAGGUACAGUGUCAGAAAUACUGCCACUGACUAAUCCUGUAAUAAGCAAAGAGUUUUUUUUUUUUUUUUUACUUUCUAGCAGCCAGAACAGUUCUGAAGAAAAAGAAUAAAACUACCUCUGCCAUAGAAAAGAAUGUUACCAUUCUCUGCCAAAUGCAGAAGGUUUAGAAGUGUAUCAUACAUUAUAUAAACUACCCCAGUAAUUUUCCUGCCCUCAAGAGCCACCAUCGGGUCUGAAGGUUACAGUUCAUAACAACCCCAUAACUUUUAAUCAAACCAGAUAUUAUGUAACAGUGCUUUCCAGCAAUUAAUAUUCUUCUAGUAAAUUGCAGUUCAGAAGAACAUGUGGAGGAACAAGGUAGGAAAUUAUUUUGAUUGGUAUUUCAUUCAAUAUUUUUUGUGGCUACACUGAACAUGAAGGAUUCCAAAGCAAACCAACCAAUGGUAACACACCAUUUACAAAAGCUUUAGUAUUUUAAGUAAUAAUUCAACUUUCUAAAUAAAACUAGAAAUGGUUUCCUUAUUUAUUAUGGCAAUCAGACUUACUUCAAAGCGAUGAGCUGUCCCAUCUGAAAGCUUCAUCAUCAUCAGAAUGGAUGGCUGGAGUGCACGGGCCAGUGAACUGAAAUUAUUUACAUCAUUAGGAUUACAGCAGUACAGAUCAGCAGCGUGAUGAGUACAGCAUUGCACAUUAACAAUUUUAGAUGUUCAUGUAGGCUUUACACAGAACAUGAGUAAUUUCAGUCAGAGUCUGGCUGGAAACUCAUGAACACAACAGUUCUGUCCAAUUUACCUCAGUAUUGAGACUUAACAUUUUGCUAAUAGUUUAGUAACAGCAAGUUUAGGAGCAUUUUCAUUUUUACAUAACUGGUUUAGUGGAACCGUGACAGGGAUAAGAGCUGACCAAGUACUGCUAACAAUAAUGCACAGUUUUCUUAUGCAGUUCACCAUGCUGCAUUAAUCAUUUCCAUUCCCUCAUACGUUCAGCUGCCACCUCAUUUAGGGAAUCAACCUCUUCCAGGCUUCAUCCUAAAUUUGUGUGGUAUUUUAUUUGAUGACCCAAAGAAGGGAAAUGAGUCAUUCUUGUGCAGCUUCCAUCAAAUGACAUUGCCAAAGCCUGCUCAGGUACAGACAGGCACUACAGCCCAAAGCUGCCAUACCUCCCUGCAGAGGCUGUUGCUGGAUAAUAAACAAAAAAUCCCAGGGGGAAGAUUAACUGAAAACAAAAUUAAAAGGAAGGAAAACAAAAACCGGUAACGUAUUGCUCCUGUGUUGUUUGGAAAACAAAUCAUAGGAUUUGCUUUCAGCUUGCACCACUGUGCCUGAGGAUGUUUACCUGGACAUUUUGCUCUCUUAUCAGUAUAGAUUCUUCCUACAGAGUGAUACCUGUGUGGUGCUUACAGCACUGCUCAUCAGAAAGUCACCUGAACCAGCAACUUGUGGCCAAUUUUCUCUUGGGAGCCUUUUUUCCUGAUUUCAGGAAGACAAUCCCUGAUCAGCCAUGGGCCUCCCUGGCAGCAAAGAGACAGCACUCCCUCCCAGAUGCAGGCAUUCAGACAUGCAACAUGAAGUUACUCAUGCUAACAAAUUACACUGCUAACAAAGACUGGAUCAUCUAAUUUCUUUCAGCUUGGUCUGUCCUGGUUAGGACUAGACAGAGACCAAACAGCACAGACAAAAGGUUUCUGUUUCCUUCUGGAUUCUAGCUAAAGAUUCAUUCCCCACAUGCCCCUGUUAUGGCAGAUGGUAAGAAGCUGUUCACUGCAGGCACAGGCAGGAUGAUCUCAAAGGCUUUUACUCCUGCUGUGAAAGAAACUAGGAGGUAGUUCAAUGACCAGUUACAUAACCAUGGCAGUGUAAAGGUGCUGUCCUGAAACUUUUCUUUGUAGAAGCAGAGUACAAGAGAUGGAAAUUCAUUCAACAUGUGCAAAAACUGAUGCAAAAAAUGAUGAUCUACUUGAGAAGUUGAAUAGAUGAAUACCCUCCUCUGUUUCAGUAGAACUAAGAGCUUGCCCAGCUGCUUGAGGCUACAUCUGACUAAUUUAUGCCAUCAUCACCAGGACGUGUGGGUUUGUAUCAGCUCUGUUAAGUUUUAAAAUAAGAGACUCAAACUUUGAGUGAAAUGUUACCAGCAGUAAAGUCUGUAUACACUGACUUCUACACUCUUCAGAAAAUUCCACCUGUAUCUUACUGUUUAAGGCUACCUGCCAAUCCCUAAUAGCAAGGCACAUUUUGACCCCAUUAAAAUGUUUAAGCAGCACAAGAAAUCAGUUUAAUCUUAGGAAAUUCCAAGGAUGUGCAUGAUUCUCUUUCAUACCUUGUGGAUAUAGCUACAUCCACUCUCCACUUGAAGUCCUGGAUGCUUGGCAGCCGACUUCUUUGUAUCAGAGCUGUGCCUUCCGAAGUGGGACGCCUGAAGAGAGAAUCAGAAACAAGAGACUGCAAGGGAAAUUCAUAAAAGAAGAAACAAUUUAAAGAGAAAAUAGGAUUCCUCGGUACAAACCUGUCUGGAAUUUGUUUCUCUCCUACAUCUGCCCUCACUUAAAAAGGUCUGAAUAAGGAGAGUUUUGUGGAUUUAAGACAGUUGUGCUCAGAUUAUCUCCUUUUUCUAUGCUUAACUAUGGUCCAUGUUGAAAAAAGAGACCAAGUGACUGUAUAAUUCUAGUAAACUGAUGUCACUAUGAAGUUUAGUAAGUCAUUGUGGUGACUGGCAUAGCUAUUAUUUCAAUGAUAUGCAACUGUGAGGCAUAGAAAGGGACCUGCAAACAUGUCCUUAUCUUCAUGCAAAUCCAACAGGAACAAGCAAGCAGAGACAAGACAGAUGACUUAGGCAAAACAGUUGCAUAAGGUCACUGCUCUUCUUCAGCAAAAGCCAUCCACUAUUGACUAGCAGCAAUGUUUUAAAAUGUAAUGUCAGUGUAUUGAGUGUAUUUUGAAGCAUACUUAAAAAACCCCACAGUGGUUCUUGUUGGUGCAAUGAAACUUACAAACUUUAAGUUCCUUAUAUAAUGUUUACUGCCAACCCCAGCUCAGCCUUCAAUAUUUUUGCCUAGUCUAAUGUGUAAGAAGCCAAGCAUUUCAUUUGUUCCUCAUACUGCAGGAAGAAUCAGGCUGAUCAAGUCCUAGUUUAUUUCUGUGUGGAAACACAGUUAACAGCAAUUAAACUUCAGGUGGUUGACAAUUUUCAAAAUUUUAACAACAUGCUAAGUUCUGGAUAACUAAAUGGCAAAUCUGAUACCAAUACAUAAUAACCAUUCACUCUUAGAUAUACAUGCAGAAAUAAUUUCAGAAUGAGGUCACUGUGCUGAGGUCUAUUCAGCAGGUGGACUUCUGGACUUUGUGUUACUCUUUUUUUUUUUUUCUCUAAGCAUCCUGUGUCCCUGGAAUUUAUUUAUGGUACAUUUCAAGGCUACUUCCACUAAGGGCAGGAUAAGAAACAUUACUUCCUUUAUCCAUGGUGCUAGACAUAAUCUAAUUACAGACUUUGCAGCAGAAGGGAAUCCUCUCUGAACAAAUCAAGCACUGUAGGAAUGGCAGGCUCACAUCACUACUGAGACUCUUGUGUGCAAGUUAGCUGGGCCUUUAGAAACUGCCCAGAAAGAUUAAUGAUCUGAUAAGGUACACAGGACUCACAGGCUGAGAUCCUCCAAGUGUCCUGCAUUUUGCAAAGGUGAUAUAAGAAAGAAUUUAUCUCUUUGGUGAGGGGAGGUUGGGUGGUGUCAGAAGUGAGAGACAUUCCUAAUAGCACAGUAAAGAAAUGAGCAAAAAAAGUAGAUCAGCUGGUUGUUACUCAUUGUCAGCUCCUGGAUAGGAAGUAGGUCACCACAGCUGGGUGCAGCCAUGAGGAGCUGGAGUCUAGAACAGUCAUUAGCAGGAUUAAACAGUAAGAACAGGCCUUUCCCUCAGUGGAGAGCUGCUGCCAGAGUAUUGCUUAAGUUGGAGACUCCCUAAAAAUAGCCACAGUGCUACAGUUUCCUUAAGACAUGCUAACUCCCAUUGAUGGAAGUCAGUCCAUUCGUGCAGCACCAGCACCCUGGGGGAAGAAAGGAGUUUUAAAAACAGAAAGAUAUUCUACUUAGCUGUGGUGGGAAAGAUCAGAAAUGGUGACCUCCCAAAGAGAGGGGAAGCUUCUGAAUACUGUUGAGAGAUGGCAUUUCUGUGGUCAAACACAAAGCUUUAUUUCUGGUCAGGACUGCGCUUCUGUACCAUUCUCCUAGGAAGAGUUACAGCUUCUAUAACUCAGUUUAAGCUUCUGUCAGGACCAUCCCAGCUUGGACAAGACCACAAUGGGAACUGCAAGAAUCCUGCAAAGAUGACAGAAUGUGCAUAGUGGCCAACAUGCAUACAGAAAUUACACAGGCUGCUAAUCAAGCCAUUAAAUUCUGAGAGGAAUAGCAAAAUGGAGCAGCAACGACUCAAUGAAUCUUACAUCCAAAACCUAUAGCCUAUAAUUACAUUUUGUAAACACUCUGUGCCAGCAGCUGCAAUACACUGUCAGCACAUUGUGCAGAAGGCAGAAGUCAGAGCAAGUAGAAGACCUGGAUCAGGUAGAGACCAUUUUAUAGUCCACACAAGUUAUGGUGGAAAGGAUGACACACCUGGUGACAAGAACACCACCUGCUAAACAAUGCAACUCGAAAAUGAAAGAUUAAGAGAAUUUGGAGCAGCAACUGAUCUGCCAGUAUCAAAACUAAAGACAAGUUCUGGAUGGGUCCCUGUGCACAUAACAAGAUAUGCCCAGCAGGCCACUGAGUUGGAAGGCUGAACAAGCUUGCACGUGUGAAAUGCUGACAAACAGCACACAGAAUGCACCCUCCUGGUAGAAACUAAAGCUACACCAUUAGGAACAAAACCCAGUGCAUUUAUUAUAAACAUUCAGAGAGGGUGAAGUUAGUGUUAUCCCUUCCUUUAAAAGACAGUUUUAAUUUAAUGUAGUUAUUUGAUGUGGCAAGUUUUUCUUUCAGUCUACACAGCUUGAUGGAACUGUAGGGACACAAAUACAAAUACCAAAUACUUCAGAGCUGUUGUUUAAUGAAAAGAUCUCCAAAAAUAAGAUAAGAUGCCAGGAAAAGUAUUAAAAAUGGAUUUUUCUGGGUUAUCUACCUCAUACUGAAUUACUGAAUUUUUGAUCACAUGCUAAUGCAUCUCUUACCAUCACAAACAUAUAUAUUUACAACUCAAUAAGCAUAUGUAUGAUUCAGUGUUACAUUUAAGACUGUAGAAGUAGAUCUGUCUAGAAAUCAAACCUGAGGUAUUUUUCUCUGGUCUCAAAACACAGAGCAAGAUUACACUGGAUAAUCACAGCUUUCAAAAUGAGAAAAAGCUAAAUUUUCCAGCAUCGUGAUUUCACAGUAGAAAACAGACAAUCAUGCAUGCUUCAAAUUAUAUCUAAAUUUAUCUUCCUUUCCUACUGCAAGCAGUAUUUCCACUUUGCAACCAUGAAUUUUGCAUUCUUAACACCUAUAAUUCAAACAGAGGAGCAAAGAAAAGAUGAGAUGACUGAAUUUAUUUUUACUCCAGGAACCUUUAUCUGUAAGCCAAGAUCUUAAUCAAAGAAAUGAAAAAUAUUUUUAGCUUUGGUAGCAGCACACAGACCCUUGAGGGUAACUGAAAAACCACAACUAUGAUUAUUUGGAUUCCAUGCAGAGAAUCUGGAGCAGCACUGGGUUAGUGAUGUCAAGUGCUGAGUGACCUCAAGUUUCAAGAAGGAAAGUUGGCCCACAAUGAUCAUCAGAGUCCAAUUCUUCACCCUGCACAAGUUUGCAUAUUCAAAACAGUCAAGAUUUUGAAUUUCUAGAUGUAGAAUAGGCUAAAUAUGGUCAAGCAGAGAAACUUCUAGAAAAAGGGAAUCCCAAGAAUGGACAAAAGAGACAGGCUGUUCAAAAAGCUCUCAAUUUAGAACUUACUCUAGAGUGACUGAGGAAUGUUGCUUAAAAAGCAAAUUACAGCAGGCAGAGCACUUGAUAUCUCAUAUAUGCUGUCAUCAAGUCACUCAGUGUGAAUUCCCAACUGAACUGUACAUUAAGACUUGAGAAAUGCUAUCUGAGAAAGCUGCCAUAAACCAGAGCCUGCCUCUUUUGCUAUAACUUGCAAUGAUAAUGAUGGCAAAAAUGAAUAAUUCUGCACUGCAUUUUUCAUCUGUAGGUAUUGAUUGACCUCACAGUCUAUAGAAUAUUAUAAAAACUGAUGAACACAAAAAACCUGAAAAUUGGCAAGAAAGCUACUUAAUGCAUGUAUUGCCAUGCAUGAUGGACAUCAUACUGUGCUGAAUCAAACUAAUGGGACAAGUCUUGUUCUCAUUAAUUUGGAAAAUAUUGCUGUUCCUUCAAUACACCAAGGAUUUGUGUCAGCAGAACUCUGUGCAGCCCUGCUGUCUGCACAAUGAAGACACUAACCUGUUACCAAAGACUACACUGGAAAAGUCCACAAUGAAAUCUUCUGGUAUUCUGAAAGAGAAGAGCAAGACAAAACAGUCAGGGAUUUUUUGUAACCACAGUUAUACAGCUUUACCUGAAAAAAACCCCUAAAUCAAUUACAGAACACAACAGAUGUGUCAACAUUUUCCAUCUUCCACUGCUUAAAAUUGCCAGCUCUUAUGUAAGCACUUCAGUAUUGAUUCAGUCAGGGCUCUCAAAAGGACAACCUGUGUUUAUACAUCAAGAACCCUAAAAACUGUGCUACAUCUUCCCAUCCUACCUUGUAUGGAAAUGCUGCAUUUCAAAAGAAUCCAGUAUUGGCUUAACUUUUCUCAGUAAAGUCAAGAAAAAUUUCACUGAUGGCUCUGACAAGUGCAGAAGGCAUGCCAGCAAUGCAUGCUUUCAAAAAUCCCAAACUUACAUGUUUCAUUUCACUUUCCCCUCAAGGAAUUGCCCCUCAAAAUUCAGAGGCCCUUGUAGCCAGGGCUACUUACAAAAGGAGCACACGUGGGGACUGGUUGAAGAGACCAACACACUCCACCUACCCUACACCUCUCCACUCCUUCACCAUUUCUCUGACACUGCUGUUUCCUUACAAACAAGCUUCUGCUGAUUUUCAGUUCAAUAGAUCAGGCUGUGAAUUGCAAAGACCACAGAGCAAACACUAUCCACUAGCUGCCUUUGCCACAGGGACAGUAACCUCCUACAGAGAGGCAGGCUGGACAAGUGGGAGAAGUCACUACUGCUGCUGCCACAGUUAAAUCCAGCACUCACCAUGAAUCAGUGCCCAGAGACAUUACUCACCAGUGGCCUGAGACACACAGCAGUGUAUCAAAGAAAAAUCAAAGCAGACAAGGAAGUUAUAUGUCCUAAGGAGCUUACAGUGUCUAAUGACCAGAGAAAAAACAACUCAUCAACUCACACAGCAGGAUGAUGAAACAGCAGCUACUACAGCUCAAAUUCAGAAAGGGAGAAAUGGGGUUAAACCACAUUUUUAAAUAGGGCUUAGAUAAAAAGAAAUUCAUUUCAGCAAGCACUAGAACAGCGUUUUUUGGCUGCAAGAGUCUGACUUUCGGAAGAGACAAGACUAUUUCUGCAAACAUUACUUAUACUUUCAUGCAAGUGUAUCAUUUAGCCCAUCCUGACACUGACUGGAUAUCCUGACUGUGUGGUGGAAUAGCUGGAGACAGGGGGCUGUGAUAUGAUUAUGAUGAUACCUACCACAACACUUGCUUGACUCAAGAGCAUUACUAAAACAGAAGCAUUAACACUAUCUUUGAGUUUGCAUUAUUUUUGCUGUGCAGUCCAUACUCUUGUUGAAAAUUCUGUUCCUGGCUCAAGCAGCACACAUGAGGCCAGUCACACACAACACAGAUAAGAUAGAACAUGGCACAGCUCAGCCUGAACUACAGAUAGCAAUCACUUGUCACUGGAACAUUCUGAGGAAGGGACUCAAAGGGCAAGAAAUGUGUGAAGAUGUCUCAAUCCCAUGCUCUUUGCCUGAGUCAUAAAGUUAUUAACUACUCUGUGAGGAGAAGGGAAAAAAAGCAACCACAGUUUAGUGUGAAUUUAUUCCCACUGGCUCAGCCACUCAGGCUAAGAAGUAGGGAAAUGCAACUCUUUUAAACUAGAAAUAUUGAUACAGUUAAUCAGAAUUGGGCAUGUAUUCCAGCCUCUCUCUUCAUCAAACUAGAAGCCAAGAUCAGACCAGAAAAUUGAGAAUUACAGGAUAUAUAUGGGCAGAAUUAGCUCAAGCUUCAGAUUCACUGAAAAAACCCAAAACAGAAUGCAAAAAGUAAAAAAAAAAAAAAAAAAAAA